rnacentral:snoRNA from 1 species
ACGACCUUACUUGUACAGGAUCUGUUCUAUAGGCUCGUACCUUUGUAUCCUUAAGUUUUGUGACUCGGUAGGUGGGUGCUACUCCUGCGCCGGACGUGUU